AACAUCGCGCACCUGCGGGAACCUGCGGAAGGAUCAUUACUGAGUUAGGGUCUUGCUGGCCCGACCUCCAACCCUGUGUUUAUUAUACCAUGUUGCUUUGGCAGGCCUGCCCUUCGGGGCUGCCGGGGGCGCUCCUGCCCCUGACCCGUGCCUGCCAGGAGCCUUCCUUAAAUUCUGUGUUCAAACUGUGCUGUCUGAGUCCCAUAACAAAAUAUCAAAAACUUUCAACAAUGGAUCUCA
rnacentral:misc_RNA from 1 species